CAGUCGCCGCGGUAAUACGAAGGGGGCUAGCGUUGCUCGGAAUGACUGGGCGUAAAUGGUGCGUAGGCGGCGAUCAAAGUCAGGCGUGAAAUUCCUGGGCUCAACCUGGGGGCUGCGCUUGAUACUUGGUUGCUUGAGUGGGGAAGAGGGUCGUGGAAUUCCCAGUGUAGAGGUGAAAUUCGUAGAUAUUGGGAAGAACACCGGUGGCGAAGGCGGCGACCUGGUCCUUGACUGACGCUGAGGCGCGAAAGCGUGGGGAGCAAACAGGAUUAGAUACCCCCGUAGUCCCUGUCUCUUAUAC
rnacentral:rRNA from 1 species